rnacentral:rRNA from 1 species
UACGGAGGGUGCAAGCGUUAUCCGGAUUUACUGGGUUUAAAGGGUGCGUAGGCGGACAGGUAAGUCCGUGGUGAAAUCUCUGAGCUUAACUCAGAAACUGCCAUGGAUACUAUUUGUCUUGAAUACUGUGGAGGUAAGCGGAAUAUGUCAUGUAGCGGUGAAAUGCUUAGAUAUGACAUGGAACACCAAUUGCGAAGGCAGCUCACUAAGCCAACAUUGACGCUGAGGCACGAAAGCGUGGGUAGCGAACAGG